AACGAACGCUGGCGGCAUGCCUAACACAUGCAAGUCGAACGAGACCUUCGGGUCUCGUGGCGCACGGGUGCGUAACGCGUGGGAACCUGCCCUUAGGUUCGGAAUAACUCCCCGAAAGGGGUGCUAAUACCGGAUAAUGUCUUCGGACCAACGAUUUAUCGCCUUUGGAUGGGCCCGCGUUGGAUUAGCUAGUUGGUAGGGUAAAAGCCUACCAAGGCGACGAUCCAUAGCUGGUCUGAGAGGAUGAUCAGCCACACUGGGACUGAGACACGGCCCAGACUCCUACGGGAGGCAGCAGUGGGGAAUAUUGGACGAUGGGCGAAAGCCUGAUCCAGCAAUGCCGCGUGAGUGAUGAAGGCCUUAGGGUUGUAAAGCUCUUUUACCCGGGAUGAUAAUGACAGUACCGGGAGAAUAAGCUCCGGCUAACUCCGUG
rnacentral:rRNA from 1 species